rnacentral:rRNA from 1 species
AGCCUUAAGAAAAGAUUUAAGGUUUUACCUGCCCAGUGUGUAAUAAAUGGCCGCGGUACCCUGACCGUGCUAAGGUAGCGCAAUCAAUUGACUUUUAAAUGGAGUCAGGUAUGAAUGGAGUUACGGGGAUCAGCUGUCUUAAAUUUAAUUAGUCUAAGUUACUAUAUAGGUGAAAAAGCCUAUAUUUGAAGAGGGACGAGAAGACCCUUAGAGUUUUUAAUAAUAGAUUACAUUAUUCUGCAUUUUUAAUUGGGGCAAUUAGGGACCAGAAAACUUCCCGAUCAAUAUAAACCGAAAUUUUUAUAUAUGAGUAAACUACCUUAGGGAUAACAGCAUUAUUCUAUAAAAGAGUUUGUGACCUCGAUGUUGGACUAGGAAACCAAAGGGCUAGCCSWUCUUUGUAUAGGUUCUGUUCGAACUUUUACUCCU